AAAGUCGUAACAAGGUUUCCGUAGGUGAACCUGCGGAAGGAUCAUUACCAAUCCAAAAAACCCCUCCCACACUAUGUGCACCCGCGCAGGAGCUUCAGGGCUCUCUGUGCGAGAAGAUGCGUAAUUCUCUUCCUCUCUUUUUCUUUUUCUUUAAAAAAGAAAUUAGAGAGUGAGUAACGCUCUUCGAAUACCUUUUUUACCCCAAAUUUUUAACCCCCCCUUUUUUUUAAUAUUGAAAAAAAGGAACCCUUUCUUACGAAAGCCCUUUCUUUUAAUAAAAAAAAAGUUUUCAAAAAACACAAAAAAAUUACAACAAAAAAAAGUUAAACAACUUUUAACGGUGGAUCUCUAGGCUCGU
rnacentral:misc_RNA from 1 species